GGAUGCCCUGUCUGUCCAACAAGAGAACCUGAGAGAUAUUCAUAGUGGAAGAGAAAAUAGCGUAAGGCUGCUAACUUCGUUUAUGGUUUAAGAAGAUUCUGUCUCCUAUAAUAGUCAUGUUCUACAGCCAAUGCGACAAAUGUAAUUUCCUAUCACCAGCACACAUUACAGCCUUUAUGGAGGAUUCAACAAAAUUUUAUUUUAGACUAUGAAUAGUAAAGGGAAGUUGCAAGAAAUAGAAUACAUACCUAUUUAAACUCGAGCAAGAUCUUAAUUCCUUCUUUCUAGCCACAUUGAUUAUCCUACCCCUUAAAGGUAAUACAUACCUAAUAUAAUAUAGACAGGCAUAUAUAGUGAAAAUGUAUACUAGAACGUAAAUAUUCUGAAUCUCCUUUAUCUUGGCGGAGCAAGACAUUUUCAAGAGAGCAUUCGCAUUCUUCAAGAACUUCCAGCAACAAUCAUUCAACCCUCGACGUCAGAGACAAACGUAGCUUAUACUUCUGAAAACUAAGUGUAAAGAAAUAUGUCUAAAAUUUCGGAUUUCCAGAGUUAAACUUACAACGUCAACACCUUAGCAGGAGACACCUUACCCAUGACGGUAUGUUUGUAAAGCCAAAGAAGAAAGACAGGUUUCUGUCAAUCGCCUUAACCACAGAUGGCGAAAGUCUGGCACAACUGUAAUUCUUCUCUCUCCGGGGCCAUAACGGUGGCCUCCGUCCAGCAGAGCGGGUGUUCUCACUGAGCCUGGACGAGGCCUCAGAAUUCCUUCCAAUACAGCGACUCCAGGAGGCCGCUGUGAAGCGGUUGGUAAUGGCAUCCAAAUUACCAUCUCUGUCUGUGGUAUUUGGGUUGCAAACUACAGAACCCUCUGGCUAAUUUAUGCAAAAGGAGCUUUAGGAGUGGUUACCGACCGCUCAUAAUAUCGCGAGGACUCAGGGUACACUGUCUGAACUUAAAAGAACAGGCCGCCUAAGGCCCCGGAAGCACCAUGCCUCUGCCAUGAUCGGGAAGCUUCUGGGUCAACUCGCUUGCCAGACAGUCCGUUCUCCUGACACAAGGCCAACAACUGCUUUUGCCCAUUCGCUCCUUCGAGACUCACAUCGGCGCACCUGCCUGAUGGAUGUAAGUCACCGGAGGAGCUCUAGAGGCAGGUAGCGUGGUGAAGAGAGGAGGCGUGAGACCCACGGACUCCUGAGGACAAGGCGAGACACCCC
rnacentral:lncRNA from 1 species